CACGGAGCUUGCUCUGGUGGCGAGUGGCGAACGGGUGAGUAAUAUAUCGGAACGUACCCURGAGUGGGGGAUAACGUAGCGAAAGUUACGCUAAUACCGCAUACGAUCUAAGGAUGAAAGUGGGGGAUCGCAAGACCUCAUGCUCGUGGAGCGGCCGAUAUCUGAUUAGCUAGUUGGUAGGGUAAAAGCCUACCAAGGCAUCGAUCAGUAGCUGGUCUGAGAGGACGACCAGCCACACUGGAACUGAGACACGGUCCAGACUCCUACGGGAGGCAGCAGUGGGGAAUUUUGGACAAUGGGCGAAAGCCUGAUCCAGCAAUGCCGCGUGAGUGAAGAAGGCCUUCGGGUUGUAAAGCUCUUUUGUCAGGGAAGAAACGGUGAGAGCUAAUAUCUCUUGCUAAUGACGGUACCUGAAGAAUAAGCACCGGCUAACUACGUGCCAGCAGCCGCGGUAAUACGUAGGGUGCAAGCGUUAAUCGGAAUUACUGGGCGUAAAGCGUGCGCAGGCGGUUUUGUAAGUCUGAUGUGAAAUCCCCGGGCUCAACCUGGGAAUUGCAUUGGAGACUGCAAGGCUAGAAUCUGGCAGAGGGGGGUAGAAUUCCACGUGUAGCAGUGAAAUGCGUAGAUAUGUGGAGGAACACCGAUGGCGAAGGCAGCCCCCUGGGUCAAGAUUGACGCUCAUGCACGAAAGCGUGGGGAGCAAACAGGAUUAGAUACCCUGGUAGUCCACGCCCUAAACGAUGUCUACUAGUUGUCGGGUCUUAAUUGACUUGGUAACGCAGCUAACGCGUGAAGUAGACCGCCUGGGGAGUACGGUCGCAAGAUUAAAACUCAAAGGAAUUGACGGGGACCCGCACAAGCGGUGGAUGAUGUGGAUUAAUUCGAUGCAACGCGAAAAC
rnacentral:rRNA from 1 species